rnacentral:rRNA from 1 species
UGCCAGCCGCCGCGGUAAUACGGAGGGUGCAAGCGUUGUUCGGAAUUAUUGGGCGUAAAGCGCGUGUAGGCGGUUUGGCAAGUCUGGUGUGAAAGCCCGGGGCUCAACCCCGGAAGGGCACUGGAAACUACCAAGCUAGAGUACCGGAGAGGAGGGUGGAAUUCCUGGUGUAGCGGUGAAAUGCGUAGAUAUCAGGAGGAACACCGGUGGCGAAGGCGGCCCUCUGGACUGAUAUUGACGCUGAGGUGCGAAAGCGUGGGGAGCAAACAGGAUUAGAUA